UGGGGAAUAUUGGACAAUGGGGGGAACCCUGAUCCAGCAAUGCCGCGUGUGUGAAGAAGGCCUGCGGGUUGUAAAGCACUUUGGUUGGGGAGGAAAGGCAUACGGAGAAUAUUCGUAUGAUAUGACGUUACCCAAAGAACAAGCACCGGCUAACUCUGUGCCAGCAGCCGCGGUAAUACAGAGGGUGCAAGCGUUAAUCGGAAUUACUGGGCGUAAAGGGCGCGUAGGCGGGAUUAUAAGUUAUGUGUGAAAGGCUUGGGCUUAACCUGGGACCUGCACAUAAUACUGUAAAUCUAGAGUAGAGUAGAGGAAAGUGGAAUUUCCGGUGUAGCGGUGAAAUGCGUAGAUAUCGGAAGGAACACCAGUGGCGAAGGCGGCUUUCUGGACUCAUACUGACGCUGAGGCGCGAAAGCGUGGGGAGCAAACAGGAUUAGAUACCCCCGUAGUCC
rnacentral:rRNA from 1 species